GUUCUGACUAGAGUUGGGCCUUUAGAGUGAAAUCAGUAGUGAUUCAGUUUGGUUGCAUAUUUUCGAAUACUAUUCUAGUUUGAAUAUGAGCCAAAAUACAGUAGUCCACAGCAGUGUUCUAUUCAUGUUUGAUUUUUUUUCAAUAAAUGAAAUGAUUAUGUUGCUGCUAAGGAAGGUGCGGUAAAUGCAAAGUGGAUUGAACCGUACAUUAAAUGACGCAUUCAUACACCAAAACAAUUAAAAAAUAUUUGAAUCUCGUGAUUCAUUCGUGGUUCAAAUCUGCAGAAAAUAGAACUGAGCGGUAUGAGAGUAAAAUCAGCAGUGAUUCAAAUCGUUCGGGGCUGUCAGUUUGAAUAUGAAUCUGAAUCAUGCACUUUCCCAGCAGUGGCUCAAGAUUCAUUUUUUAUAACAGUCGAGAUUCAAAAGCUUAGAACCAUUAUACCGCUCAGUUCUAUUUUCUGCAGAUUUGAACCACGAAUGAAUCACGAGAUUCAAAUAUUUUUCAAUUGUUUUGGUGCAUGAAUGCGUCAUUUUAUGUACGGAUCAAUCCACUUUGCAUUUACCGCGCCUUCCUCAGCAGCAACAUAAUCAUUAAUUUAAUGGAAUAACAAUCAAACAUGAAUAGAACAUUGCUGAGGAAGCCUGUGAGUUUGUUCUAUUUUGGCUCAUAUUCAAACUAGAAUAGUAUUCGAAAAUUUGCAACCAAACUGAAUCACUGCUGAUUUCACUCUGACAGUUUUAAGCUUUUGAAUCUCGACUGUUAUAAAAAAUAAAUCUUGAGCCACUCCUGGGAAAGUGCAUGAUUCAGAUUCAUAUUCAAACUGACAGCCCCGAACGAUUUGAAUCACUGCUGAUUUUACUCUUAGAACCUUUCAAAUGAUCGGGAUCUUCUAUAAAUAUGAAACUAAUUGAAAACCGCUGCUUGUCAUUCAUCGUUAACGGAACUCCUAAUACGGAACAGCACUUGCCAUUCAUCUGUAACAUCAACCUAAUGUAAUAUGAGCUGAAACAGGUGCAUACUUUCGGAAGUUCCUGAUAAUGGUUAUUUAAAAUCAACUCAAGUCCUAAAAAGGAUACCGGAGGAUAGCGAUAGCAACAGGGAGGCCAUUAUUACAGUUAAACCACGAACUCCACUACUCCUCAUCAACAGCAACAUGAUCGGCAAGUGGCUUUGAAAACCCAACAUCAGAAUUAAAUAAAAUCUAAAAUAAAAUUAAAAUCAAAUUGAAAUUGAGUUAAAAUAAGUCAAAUUUGAAUUUAAACUAGAUUAAAAUUCAAUUGAA